AUCACCUGGAGAUCUUGUUAAGUGCAGAUUUUGGUUCGGAAUGUGGCCUGAGAUUCCACAUUUCUAACAAGUUCUCAGGUGAUGCCACU
rnacentral:miRNA from 1 species